GCGAACGUGGCGGAAUUGGCAGACGCGCUGGAUUUAGGAUCCAGUGGGGCAACCCGUGGAGGUUCGAGUCCUCUCGUUCGCACCA
rnacentral:tRNA from 1 species